AUGGAGACCAUCUCCAGGUACUUCAAGCAAGUGAUGUAUGCUAUUGGGGAGCUCAGAGGAGAGAUGAUCAGGUCACCAACCGGUUGGACUCCUACCAAGGUUCGCACUAGCCCAAGAUGGUAUCCAUACUUCAAGGAUUGCAUUGGAGCAAUAUAUGGUACUCAUGUGACUGCCAAAGUGCAGAGGUCACAAGCUGCAGCAUAUAGAGGGAGGAAGCACUACAUAAGCCAGAAUGUGCUAGCUGUUGUUGACUUUGAUAUGAAGUUCAUAUAUGUGCUGACUGGCUUGGAAGGAUCAGCACAUGAUGCUAAUAUUCUCAGUGACAGCAUGAGUCGUCAUGAUGGCAUCAACAUCCCUGAUGGCAAGAUCUACCUAGGAGAUGUUGCCUAUGCAUGUCGGCCAGGUGUUCUUCCACCCUUCAGGAAAACUAGAUACCAUCUGAAUGAGUUCUCUAGUAGGAACUAUUCUAGGACUUCACAUGAGCUGUUUAAUCUCAGACACUCUAGCCUUAGAGUAACGGUUGAGAGGGCAUUUGGAGCUCUGAAGAACAAGUUCAAGAUCCUGGAUCAGAAGCCAUUCCACCCUUACCCUACCCAGGUUAAGCUUGUUCUUGCAUAUUGCAUUCUACAUAACUGGAUCCCGCAAUGGGGUGUUGAUGAACUUGUGCCGGAGGAGGAAGAUGUGACUCUUGAUGAGGUGAUCAGCUCCGACAAUGGUGGGAGGCGUUCGACAAUGAAGCGUGAAAGAACAAGAGGUUGGAGUGCGCUCACGCAUUGUGGGAUAACAGAGUGCGCGGUGCCCGCAGGGGUACAGGACGAUGCUGGCGUCAACGGCGGUGCAUCAGAUGCUGCAGAUCUGGAGAAGGUGGAGGCGGGCUCCAGUGGCAUAGUCCAGCCAGAUGCGCAUGCUCUGGUGAGCUCUAGCGAGGAGCAGGUGGAUGGUUCUGUGGACAAGAAGAGGAAGUUGGACCUUACUGACUUCAAAGACCCGUAUGAUCCAGGCUAUGGUGACGACGAAGUCUAUGAGAGGGUGGUCUCAAAACUUAGACACUAA
rnacentral:rRNA from 1 species